rnacentral:rRNA from 1 species
UAGUCCACGCCCUAAACGAUGCUAACUCGAUAUUUGGAUCUAGGUCUGAGUGUCUAAGGGAAACCAAUAAGUUAGCCACCUGGGGAGUACGUUCGCAAGAAUGAAACUCAAAGGAAUUGGCGGGGACCCGCACAAGCAGCGGAGCGUGUGGUUUAAUUCGAGGCAACGCGAAGAACCUUACCGGGCCUUGACAUAUACGUGGUACUGAUUGGAAACAUGAUGGACUCUUCGGAGAGCGUAUACAGGUGCUGCAUGGCUGUCGUCAGUUCGUGCCGUGAGGUGUUCGGUUAAGUCCGAUAACGAGCGCAACCCACGUCGUCAGUUACAAGUGUCUGGCGAGACUGCCGGUGAUAAGCCGGAGGAAGGUGUGGAUGGACGUCAAGUCAGCAUGGCCUUUAUGGUCCGGGCUACACACACGCUACAAUGGUCGAUACAAUGGGUANCGAAGCCGCGAGGUGAAGCCAAUCNCGCAAAGUCGAUCUCAGUUCGGAUUGCAGG